UACGGAGGGUGCAAGCGUUGUCCGGAUUUAUUGGGUUUAAAGGGUGCGUAGGCGGUUAUUUAAGUCAGCGGUGAAAUCCUUCAGCUUAACUGGAGAAUUGCCAUUGAUACUGGAUAACUUGAGUUCAGACGAGGUAGGCGGAAUUUAUGGUGUAGCGGUGAAAUGCAUAGAUACCAUAAAGAACACCGAUUGCGAAGGCAGCUUACUAGACUGAAACUGACGCUGAGGCACGAAAGCGUGGGUAGCAAACAGG
rnacentral:rRNA from 1 species